GGCGGGAUUACCCGCUGAGUUUAAGCAUAUCAAUAAG
rnacentral:rRNA from 5 species